UACAUCAUGACUGGAAAAUGUCUUGUUUUUAAUUUAAUUUCCUUUGAUUGUUUAUUUUUCUCUAUCCAAUUUGUUAAUUCCUCAUUAACAGUUCGUGUUUACAGCCAUUAUCUUUGAGUUUCUAUUUCGGUUCUCGUUAUAUUCGCCAUCGUCAUGAGACUUGAGCUCAAGUGAAUCACUUGAAGUGAUCAUUAACAAAGUCAACCAUUUUUACCAAACAUUUUUUUUUCAUUUAUCUCUUUUUUCUCUGUCCUUCUCUCCCUACCUCUUGGUCAUUUUGCUAUUAACAGAUUCUUCGUCCAUUUUAAUCAUUAUCAUGAUCUUUUAAUUUUGUUUAAACAUAUCAAGCUGCUGUUAAUUUGACAUGCAAUCUCUCUUUACCAUCUCCUCAACUCUUUCAUCAAUCUUGAAUGCAAUUAUAUGUUACACCGGCUUCUACCCUGCUCAUCAAGUGUUAACUACCUCAUUAACCUUUUACCCCUUCCACUCUCUUUUGCAGGGUAAAGAGAAGGCUUAAGUGAAAAAAAGAAAGAAUGGAAAGCCCAGAGAGAAUGGAAGAAAAAAGCAGACGAGAGAAGAAAAGAGUUUCUCUGGAUUCCAUAAAUUUUGCCGUUGAUUAAUGAUUAUUUUGACUUGUUUUUCAUUGCCUUUUACCAUGAGUUACCGGAUGUUGUUAGAAAUAAAUAAUCACUAGGACUUCUGAUCUUCUCGUCAUUAUGUCAGUUUAUCACUUUCUAGUUUCACUUUAAGGAAGCAAAGAGGAAAGCUACCAUGACUUGGUAAAUUUAUCACUCACCAUUUCAUUAUAUGCUGUUCAUUUUCAAGUUAUAACCAGUCAUUUCUUUUGGUUACAAUUACUCAGCGCUUCGUUAAUUCAUUGUAUCGUUUAAAGCCUCUAAUUACACAGGAGCUAGAAACAAUUACCUGAUACCUUAAUAAGUCAUCUACUUUUGGGUUGUCAUAACUUUUUAAUUUAGCUACUCUUUCAUCUGGCUUGCUGUUACUGUUUGUCAUCAUCAUCACCAUAAAAAAUAAUCAUGAUCAUCACCAGUAUAAACAUUUUUACCAAGCACCUUGAACUCUAACCCAUAGAGUAAAACUUAUGACUUGAAGGAUGGAAAGGAAAGAAAAGUGCAAAGUCAAAAAGUGUUCCAACCUCGCCCCUCUCAACACUGAUUUUUCCAGACAAAAAUAACGAUAAUGGAAAUGAUAAUUGUUAAACUGCAACGGCAACAACGUUUUCCCUAUCAAUGAAACAUGGAGAACAGAAAAAGUCAUUUAGCCAGUUUAACUAAUAGUCAACCAACGAUUAGCGAUUCAAAGUUGAUGACAAGCCCUGUUCAGAUGAAAAGUGAUAAUUAUCAACAUCAAAAUUAAUCAAAAGCAUAACAGUGAAAACAAUUUUAUUUGUAUGCAAAUGAUUACCAUGAUAAUCACCGUCACCCUCAUCAUCAUGAAUCAAUAUAAAUUAUUGUUUAAUGCAAUAAUUAAAAAUAUGCCAGCCAGUGUAAAAAAAGUAAACUUUAAGUUGUCAGAAGAAGAGAAAAAAAGUUAAUUAUUACAUUUUAAUCAAACAUAUUACUAUUUAAAGUAAUCAGCGUAAUGUAAAACAAUUAAUAAUGGCAAUAAUGAUGAUGAUUAUGGUUAUGUUGCCGAUCAACUCUACAAAUCAUCAAUUUAAAUUGAAACCUGGAAACAGCUUUUUUUUGCUCGAAUCGUUAAAAGUGUGAUUCCAUUUCAAUGGUAAUUAUUCAUUUUUGGCCAUUGACUAAUUGAUUAAUGUUAAUCAUUAUUGAUUAACUUAAACAUUGACACAACAAACAGCAACAUGGACACAAGAUUAGCCAAGUUAAAGGAUGGGUCCAACAAAGAUGCCUGUAAAUUGUAUAAGCUGCCAUAACCUUAAAAAUGGUGUUAGACAAAUUGAGGUUGGAACUGGCAAAUUUGAAUAAUCUUGAAGGAAAGGAGGAAUGAAAAGAAACUCAUAAAUCUCAAUAUUUGGUGCCUUUUUAAAUGGAACAUUAUUAUCAUCAUUAUUCCUUCUCUCUGGCUCUUCCUAAGUCUUCCAAUCCAAACAGCCUCGUAAUUUUGUGUUUAUGUGAUUCAUACACAAUUAAGUCUUAAAGAUGGAUCCAGGGAAAGCAAUGGUACAAAAAAUAACAACAUGAAACAGAAACGCUUUUUAUUAUUAUUAUUAUGUAUUUAUCUAGGAGAUUGAAAGGAAACAGGAAAUGUUGCCCAAAGAAUUAUUAGUUAUUAUUAUUACUUAUGAUGAUAAAUGGUUAUUUCAGUUUUGCGCUUAUUAACAUCAUAACCAUCAUCAUAUUGAUAAGAUUGAUAAUAUAUUUAUCUUGAUAGUUAUUCUGGGUGCCAAUUAUUUUUAUAUUAUAUGCAUCUUCAUGUUCAAUUGAAAUUAAGAUUAAUGAGUUGCUACAACUUUUCCAUGCAACUUUUGUUUACCCAUUUCUUUUUCACUUCAACAAAGGUAAUAAAUUACAUUACUUUUGGCA